rnacentral:rRNA from 1 species
AACGAACGCUGGCGGCAUGCCUAACACAUGCAAGUCGAACGAGACCUUCGGGUCUAGUGGCGCACGGGUGCGUAACGCGUGGGAACCUGCCUUUAGGUUCGGAAUAACUCAGAGAAAUUUGAGCUAAUACCGGAUGAUGUCUUCGGACCAAAGAUUUAUCGCCUUUAGAUGGGCCCGCGUUGUAUUAGCUAGUUGGUGGGGUAAAGGCCUACCAAGGCGACGAUCCAUAGCUGGUCUGAGAGGAUGAUCAGCCACACUGGGACUGAGACACGGCCCAGACUCUUACGGGAGGCAGCAGUGGGGAAUAUUGGCCAAUGGGCUAAAGCCUGAUCCAGCAAUGCCGCGUGAGUGAUGAAGGCCUUAGGGUUGUAAAGCUCUUUUACCCGAGAUGAUAAUGACAGUAUCGGGAGAAUAAGCUCCGGCUAACUCCGUG